rnacentral:rRNA from 1 species
GGUGAACCUGCGGAAGGAUCAUUAUCGAGCA